GGGCUAAUGGUGUUAAUGGUAACACAUCUCGUUAGCAACGAGAAGAUCCGAGUUCGAUUCUCGGUUGGUCCA
rnacentral:tRNA from 1 species